GACUGAUCCCUUUAUCAUUAUGUAAUGUCCUUCUUUAUCUCUUGUUACUUUCUUUGUUUUGAAGUCUAUUUUGUCUGAUACUAGUACUGCAACACCUGCUUUUUUCUCCCUGUUGUUUGCAUGAAAUAUGUUUAUCCAUCCCUUGACUUUUAGUCUGUGCAUGUCUUUGGGUUUGAGGUGAGUCUCUUGUAAGCAGCAUAUAGAUGGGUCUUGCUUUUUUAUCCAUACUAUUGCUGUAUGUCUUUUGAUUGGCAUAUUCAGUCCAUUUAAAUUUAGGGUGAUUAUUGAUAGAUAUGUACUUAUUGCCAUUUGCAGGGUUUAGGUUCAUUGUUACCAAAGGUUCAAGGUUAGCUUCUUUACUAUCUUACCAUCUAACUUAACUCACUUAUUGAGCUAUUGUAAACACUGGUGAUUCUUUAUUUCUCUCCCUUCUAUGAUCAAUUCAUUGCAAAGUAUGGAUCUAAUGAUGUUCAGAAUGAUGAUAAAAAUAACAUUGCUAUAGAAAUGAUUACUGCUUUAGCCCAGAAGUCAAUCUCUGCAUUCAAAAUUCAGCCACUUUUUUCAUUAGAUGGGUCUUCUACCUUCUUUUCAUUUCUAAAUCCAGAUAACAUCACCCAGAGAAUUCAAUGCCUAACAGAGAAAAUUUCUACACCAGUAAACAGAUGCUUAAAAGGGAACCAACUUGCUUCACCAACACAAUCAUAUAAACAUACUUCUCUAAAGUCAGACCAGAAAAAUUCACUGAACACACUGGAAAUAGAUAGAAGUGCAGUGAAUAGAAAGAAAGGUUUCAAAGGUGAGGAGACAUUAAUGAAAAAAGGCAACAUCCAAGAUCCGAUAGUUACCGCUGUAACUGGAAUCAUGAAAAAUAAUGCGGUUAACCUGUUAUCAGAGUCAGCUGCAGGUGUGGCAAAUAAAAAGGAGAAGGAAAAUAAAAUGAGAAUUUCAAUUAGAAAAUAUAAUGAGAAUAUAUCAAAAGUUACUUCAACUACUAGUACAAAAAGUAAAGCUACAAAGGACCCAGAGUUAAGACUAACACAUAAAAAUGAUGACACUGAGAAGAAAAGUACAUCAGCUCCAGAAUAUGAGGAAAGGCAAUGUAAUGAGGCACAGACACAAUUUCAAGCAGCUACUAAUGAUAUAGAACAUGAGAAGGAAAUACCUGGAGCAGAUUUUGAAACAGACAGUGAAGAGUUUAAGAGCGUAAGAGAAAAUUCAUUAAAAAAAGAAGAUGAGUCCUUUCAUUUAUCUUCUUUGGCAUCUAAAGUGAGAAAUACAGAGACCACAGCAGAGAAAACUUUGAAAGCAGCUACCCCAAAAUCAAAUGGAAUGGAAAGACAAGCCUCUCCAUCUCAAAUAGCUGUAAAUGAGGAACAAUAUUCAGAUUAUGAACAUGUUCAAAAUAUCAUUGAAAAUACUUAUGAUGUUAUCUUAGAAAUAUAUCAUUCUCAAGGAUCCACAGAUGAUUCACAUCUCCAAAGUCCCCCAAGUGAUAGGUCACUGCAGGUAAUUCAGGAGGUUGGCAAGGAUACUGCACAGUCUGUUUCAACAAAGGAUUUAUCCCUCUCAAUUAGCAAAAAUCUCCCUGCCAUGGAGAAAGAGGGAGAGAAAGAGAGAGAAAAAGAGAAAGUGAAAGUAAAGGAGAUUAAAAUUGAACCUAGUAAAACAAAUAGUCAUCAGUACCAACCAAAACAUAAACCUGGAAUUUUUCCUGCUAAGUUUUCAGAAGAUAUUAUCACUGAAAUGAUUAACAAAUUGAUCUUUUCUUCAUCACCAGAAACACAAAUGUGUGAAAGAUGUCAAAAUGUAAGUGAUGAUGAAAAUCAAACGGAACUGUAUGACACAGCUAUGAAACCUAUUGAUUCACUGUUAAAGGAGUUUUCAGAUGCUCAAAUUAAGGUAUUUAGAACAGAUCCAGAAAAUGAGUUUCUUCCACCAGUAGAAAACAUGUCAUCAUCAGUUCCUAAAGUACUUUCCGGGCAUAAAGAGUCAACUGCAGAAAAGGUAUCAUCUAGCAUUAAGAAAACUGUGGAUAAAAUUCCACAUAUGCACAAAAUGACUAAAACCUCCUCUUUAAACAAGAUGCCUUUCCUAAAUAACAUACCAGCAAUCAAUCAAACAUUGGUCAACAAUGAUGUUCACUCCUCUGUAUGCAAUAUUUUGAAGGAAUAUAGGUCUCAAGACUCCAUUUGUAAGAGUAUAAAAACUAAUGAGGAAACUAUAGCAAGACAACUAACUAGUGCAGUGAUAAAUGAAAUUUUUCAAGAGCAGCUUAAUUUUGGAUUUUGUGAUGAGAUUCCAGCUUCAGCAUGUUUGCCUCUCGAAUCUAAGGAUGUUGUUAAAAAGAUCCAAAAAGUGGUUAAAAGAGCCAGCAAAGAAUGUCAGGCAUUGUCACCAUAUACCGUCAUGCUGCCUCAUGAAUUUUUAGAGAAUGUGAUUUCUGCUCUCUUAUCUAAAAUUUUCUCAACUGUGUCUAACACCAAAGCAGAAACAUCUGAAGGCAAACAGUUCACAAAACUGGAUUUCCUUCAAAUGAAGUUACUAAGUACAGUUACAACAGAGAUCUCCAAACAUGAUGAUAUGAUUAUACAGUAUGUGGACUCCUUACAUCCCAAUGAUGAUGAAAUUAUUCAAUUAGUGGUUCAUUCUAUUUAUAAAAAUCUUUUGUCACAGUAUGGGUCACAAGAGAUUAUACAAAAUUGUGUAUCCAGUGGAUGCAGAAUCCUUUCGAAAACCAUAGUUGAGUUGAUUCUAAAAGAAGUGUCUGGCAAUCAGCUGCAGAACUAUUUUUCUGGAGAGCUAACUCCAUAUCAGUGUUCAGAAGUUAACUACAUUGUUGAAAAUAUUCUGAAAGAUGUUAUCACAACUGCUGAUGCUCUCCAGCCUCAACCACGUGCUCAUAUACUGCCUUAUGAUGUAAUAGAAGAAACUGCUAUAAAAUUUUUAUUGAAGCUUUUAUCUAUGUUUCCAACAGUAGAUAAGGAAAGAACCAAAUCUGAAGAAACUGAAAUGCAAAAGAUAACCUCAAAAAUAUUAAAUUCAAUACAAGAAUCUAUCUCCAAAAGUAAGAUUAAACUUGUAUCACCAGCCAAGGAAUUGCCUACUAUACCUUCAGCUGACAAUGAAACUAUUGAAAAAAUAGUUAACUCUGUUUAUACUAGUGUUUUAAAGCACUCUGGCUCACACACCUCUAUAUUGAAAGAUUUAAUGGGUAAGAGCAAUGCCCUUUCUGAUAUAAUAGGUUUUUUAAUGGUGAAGGAAAUUUCCAUUUCUGAAUUUCAACCUAAAUUUGAGGAAGAAGUAUCAAAUUCAGAAUUAGUUUUGGAAGCUGUCAAAAUUAUGGAAAAAGUGGUCAAAACUGUUGAUAAGUUUAAGUCCCAGGAAAGGUCUUCUUCCAAAAAAGGUCCUAUAUUAGAUACUACAACAUUAGAAGAAGCUUUGGCUUUGUUCUUGGCUAAAAUUGUAACGUUGCCGAGUGUCUCAAGCAAAGAUGCAAAAAACUUGUCAAAGCCUGAGUUAAAUAAAAUUGCACCUCAACUGACAAAAUCUGUAGCAGCUGAAAUUUCCAAAAAUAAUAUUGAUCUUGUUUCUGCUGAUCCUGAAGAACACUUUUUAAAUCCAGAAAGCAUAGAAAUGAUUUCUCAGGUUAUUGAUUCUAUUUAUAGUGAUAUACUGCAACAAUCUGGAACCCAUAAAGAUCUUUAUUAUGACAUAAAAGGUACAAACAGAGCCUUCCUUAAGAAAGUGGCUAGUUUGAUUAUUAAUGGAGUUUCAAAUCUUCAGUUAGAUACAGUUAAGUUAAAGAAUUCAAGUGCUGAUCUCUUUGGAGAUCAAGCCAUUAAUAGAAUUGUUCAAAAGGCACAGAAGUAUGCUGACAAAAUGAUCCCUGACUUAGGAAAAGGAGAGAUCAAGAUUCAAUUGAAGAUGAGUUUCCAAUUAAAAUAGUCCCACAUAUUAGGAAGAAGCCAAUCAAAAUAGAUCCUGACAUUAUCUCAGAACACUUAGCAGUCGUUUCUAUAAAAACUCAACCUCUUGAAAAACUUGAGAUGGACUGUUUAAGAAAAACUGGACAUAGCAUAAAAGAGCUAAGAAGUGCAUCAAUAAAUGGGAGAAGUGUCUCUUCAUCAGACACAUCUAAUUUAGGAAAGAUAAAGAAAGGAAGACAUGCUUCAUUGACUAAGGACGAUUGGAUGUAAAACCCCUAGAGGUAAGGGCAAAAGCAGUAACAAAACAUUAAAAUUCAAAUUCAAAAUACAAGUGAAUAGAGAGGCAUAAUUGUUCUGUGAUUCCCUUCCUCAAACAGGUAUAUGGAAAUGCAUUUUUUCUUAUUGCUCAGCACUCUGUGAGAAUUCAUUACACUUGUUCAUCCAUAAAGUCAUGUAACUUACUGGGACUUGCCACAUCAGCUCUGUGGCUCACUCUCAAGGUCUCAGGCUAGUUUUCCUAAGACAAUCAGUUUAAACUGGCUUUUAAAAGAAAAAAAUUAUGAGAACACAGGGACAUACACUUAAUAGUAAAACCAGGCUGACUAAAAUUAUGAUCUUCAUUUGAAAAUUCAAAAAAGCAAUCUCAUAUAGUUCCUGUAGUUUUUUAUUGAGGGUAAUCUAAUGGUAUCUUAAAGGGCCAGUUAAUAGAAUAUCGGGACAUAUGAACUUUCAAAAAUUAGCUAAAAUAGUUUUAAUUUCUCAAACUUAUGACUCUACACAGUACUUUUUACUUUUAGCAACAUUGAUCAACAAACAUUAGACUACAGACGCUUAGAUUAUACUUCUUUAUUAUCUUACUUUAAUUAGCCUUCCUCCAUUUUUCUAUACUCUCAAGAAGUGCCCAGUUUCUUUCCUCUUCUAUCCUUGUUCUAGACCCAGCAGCCCAUGUACUGCCAUUUUUAUGAACCCAUUUCCUCUUGCUAUAGACCUAUGGCCCUGUAGCUCUAUACUUGAGCCCCAAUACAUUAAAUUAAUUGGGCUUUAAAAUGCGGAAAUGAUGUUCUUGUUACAAGAAAACUCUACCACUGAGGGCAAAGGGAUUGUCCCAUACAACUGUGCUGAUCCACUAUACCUAUGAUUUUCAACAAAUCGCCUUGUACUGAUGGCAUUUACUCCUACGAGGACUGAAUGUGUUUAGGGAUAUAAUCUAUGGCCUGCACAAUAACCAAAGUUUUAUAGAACCAUUCUUCCUGGAAUGUAAAUUUGAAGUGAAUUUUCUCCAGCACUAUCUUGUUACUCACUGAACUAAAUGUUAGGGAUGAGAAAUAUUUCAAUAACUGCUUUAUGUUUUCAUACCCAAAUAUGGAGAUUAUCAUGGGCUGAGGCACUUAUUUAAUCCAUUUGCCCUAAAUAUUUUGUACCAGAAGACAGUGCUUUCUAGCUCUAAAGUUACCUCUGCCAUAUGGGUUCUUACCAUUACAUUAGCAUGUUACUUGGUAGUCUUCAUCAUAUAUAAGUAAUCCCUUGGGAAUAAAAUUUCUGAACAGAAUAACAUUACUUAAAAUUAGUUUUUAGUUAUCUGUAGAAUUGUCACAAAUUUUACUCUUAGUUGCCAGCUCUCUUAAGCCAUUUAUAGGCCACAGAAAGCAGGAGAAGAAUAUUUAAACCAAAACAGUUAUCCAUGUCCUCUUAAGCCAAAGAAAAGCCAUCCUAAAAAUAAAAAAGCAGCAGAGAUAAUUCUGUUAAGACAUAUGAUUCGUACCAAUCUGGGUACCACUGCUGUUUUUCUCAAGCAUAGGGACAGAGAAGGGACAAAAUGGAAUAUACAUAUUGAAAACAUAUGUAGGAACAAAUUCCAAAGCCAUAUGGAAUGGUUUUGGAUUUUCUAAACUAUUAGUUCCCUCCACUAACACAGAAAAUCAAAAUUGAUUGUGUUUUGAUUUCUUAAGGAGCCUGUUUAUAUAUGUCCCUUUAGGGCACCAUUAUCUGAAAAACUGGCUUAUAGUGGUACAAGAAGAUAUUAAGGUCUAUGUUUAUUAACUCAAAUCAAUUUGGAUGUUCUGUGUCAUCAUAAAAACUAUGAAAGUGAGGGAAAUGCUAUUAUUUAAUUAUAAUCGUCUUUGAUCUGCCUUUAGACAUUGAAAAUGGAAAGUGAGAUUUCACUAGGGAGGUGAGAAAAAGAUUAAGAUUUAUGUUUUGAAGAUUCUUUAGAAAAUAUGUCUGAAGGAUCAAAGUGGAAGAACAGGGAUUUAAGAGCCAAAGACCUUUACAAUUUUGAUUUUUCAUCAUUUUUAAAAGUCAGGAUCAGAUAAUGCCUCUCAGUUUUGCUAAAAAUGUGUGCAUUUAAGUUUAUCUAUGAUUCCCUAUGUAGAAUUUUAGAAAAAUAGAUGUCUACUUCUAUCACAUCAAAGUAAAUGAAAAAAAAAAGUAUAUUAUGAUGCAACAAAUACAAAGUUCAAACAAACAAAACCUAUGUUAGACCUUCCUCUACAUUUCAGAGUAAGCUAAUGGUAGAUUAAUAUUAUCUCUGAAUAUAAAAGAAAUGCUAGACGGCAACAAAUGUUCUUAUAUUUUUCAUUUGUUUCUUUUCAAAAUAUUGCUAAUAUACAAAUAAGUGGCACUUGAAGAUAAUACUACUUAAAUUGAAACUAGAAAUUAUACUAAUAGGUAUAUUUCAAUAAAACCACAGGAAAAAUGACAGAGACAUUUGUUUUAGUAUUCAUUAUACUUUCAAUUACAGGUUGUCAGCAGAAAUUCAUUUCAGAAUGUAAGAAAGCCAGAUAUCACCAAGGUGGAGCUUCUAAAAGAUGUUCAGAGCAAAAAUGAUCUUAUCAUUUGGCUAGUAGCUCAUGAUAUUGAGCAAGAUUUGGAAAGUAACAUAGAAGAGGGAUUAAUGUCUGAUGAAGAUGAAGUUGUUUUAAGAGAAGUUAUACAAGAGGAAUACUUGGAAUAAUUUGAAGAUCACAUGAAUGAAGCCACAAAGCCAGCAGAAAGCAAAGCUGUUUCUUCCAAGCCAACACUAAGCAUAAACAGCAUGAAAAAAUUUUUGUCAUCAGGCAAACGCUGUCAGCCCACAUCCAGUGUUAACAUUAAAACUGAGGUGAACCAGGGAAAAGACAGGGGUCCACAGGAUGGAUUCUGACAGCCACACAAGUGAACCUGGAAGCUAAUCCACUGCUUGAGCCUUAAGAUGGCUGCAGCCUUCAUCUACACUUUGAUUGCAGUCUUAUGAGAGAUUCUGUGGUAGAGAAACCCAGCUAACUCUUUCCAGAUUCUUGGCCUACAGACACUGUGAGGUAAUAAAUGUUUCAUUUUUGGAGGCCUGGCAAGUCUUGGGGCAACUCAGUUGGCUCCUAAGGCAUAAGGCAAACUGUGGAAUGGAAGAAAAUGUUUUCAAAACUCAAAAAUAACAAUACAAUCUUUUCCUCAUUUUUAUUAGAUUCUGUUCUUAUUAUUGAGUUAUAAGUGCUCUUUAAAUAUCUGUGUACAAAUCCAUAUUUAUCAGAUAUGUGUUUGGAAUGUAUUUCCUUCCAUUCUAUAUGGCUUUUUAGUUUCCUACAGUGACUAUUGAAGAACAUCAUAAUUUUAAUUUUGAUGAAGUCCCGUUUAUCAGCUUUUGGAUAUUAUGGUUCAUGAUUUUUGUGUUCAGUCUAAGAAAUCUUUGCCUAACCCAGUCAAAAGAUUUUUUUUCCUUCAUUUUCUUCUAGGAGCUUUAUAGUUCUUGUUCAGUUUAGGUCAGUGAUCAGUUUUGAGUUAAGUAUUGUAAAUGGUAAUGAAGAUUUUACAUUCAGUUUUUUCCCAUGUGGAUAUUCAACUUUCCCAUCACCAUUUUUUAAACUCUUUAUUUCCCCGCUUUGGCACCUUUAUCAAUACUGAAUUGACCAUAUCCAUUUAGGUUUAUUUCUAAACUUUAUCAUGUGCCACCAAUGUGUAUGUCUAUAAGUAAUACCACACUAUCCAAACCAUUGUAGCUUUAUGGUAAAUCUUGAAAUCAGGUAGUUUAAGUCCCUCAGGUUGUUCUUCUUUUUCUAAAUGGUUUUGGCUUUUCUAAGUCCUUCACAUUUUUCUUUCAAUUUCAGAAUCAGCUUGUCAAUUUCUGAGAAAAAAAGCCCAGUGGAUUUUUGAUGGAAUCUAGUGUUUGCAACAUUUAGCAUGUGGUUUGCUAAAUAGUAGUAUACAGGAGAAAAUAACUUGGCUUUCAAAACUGCUUACCCUUGGAAAAUAUAAAUUAUUAAUUAGACAGUAACAUGGGAAAAUAUCUUGGCCAAUUGGUUUUUAAUCAAUUAAUGAUUUUCUUCAUUAAAAUACAUAAAUCCAGCAAUAAUUCUUAAAUAUGAGAAUAUAAUACUGUCUAACUUCCUUUCUGCAUCUAUCUAGAAGAAAAUGUUUUCAAAUUCAAAAAUAACAAUAGAAUCUUU